rnacentral:rRNA from 1 species
CCACGCUGUAAACGAUGAUUACUAGGUGUGGGGAGCUAAGGCUUUCCGUGCCGGAGCAAACGCAAUAAGUAAUCCACCUGGGGAGUACGGCCGCAAGGCUGAAACUCAAAGGAAUUGACGGGGGCCCGCACAAGCAGUGGAUUAUGUGGUUUAAUUCGAAGCAACGCGAAGAACCUUACCAGGUCUUGACAUCCCCUGCAUAGCACAGAGAUGUGUGAAGUCUCUUCGGAGACAGGGAGACAGGUGGUGCAUGGUUGU